UUUGAAGGUUUACCACAUCACAUUUUAAUGAUAUGUUCACAACAAAUGUUUCUAUGAGACAAAUAUUAUGUUUUCUUUUGAUAAACUCAUUACAACAAAACACUAAAAAUUACAGCAUCAGUCAAACAUAACUCAUCAAAACAUACUUGCUACAAUCUUGAGUUAGCACAAGGCAAAUGAAGUCACUUCCUUCAGUCCCUAGUAGAAGAAAUCAGGUCUAAACCAUGGGAAUUUCCCUUCAGCUAGAGCCAUGAAAACUGCUCCAGUCUUUGAACUGCAUAUAAUAUGCUGAGAGAACUAUCAUAAGCUUAUGUUAUUCUGUUAAUGGAGAGAGAGCAAUCUCCAUGGACAGGCAUAACUGUACAUUAUAAGAGGCUCCUAGGUUCAGAUUGAGCCCAACCCAGCACCAGAUGCAUAUGGAUUGUCAAACCAAAUUCCAAGAUCGAUAAUAUGCUUCUUAGAGGAAAGCCCUUACACAUCAUAUCCAAGUGGUUGCUAAGGGGAAAAUCAAAUCUAAGAGUCAUCCAGUUCAGUAAUUUGUGCUCUUCUUUCUGCAGCUUUCUUCCUUAUGAAAAUGCCCCAUCUCAAGGCAGCUUUGAGUUUGAGCCACCCUACAACAGCCUUACCUGAAGAACGUGUACGUUCCUCAUCAAAACCAAAAUUAGAAGACAUGCUGGGCAUGUAUGCUGAUCCAUACUGGUAAUUCUCUUCUGCAACACUAGAAGACGCAUGACCCUGUCCCAUGCUGAACAUACGUAGCAAAUGUUGCAUGUCUUCAUUUUCGAGCAUCUCAUGACUUUUCAUACGUAUCUCUUCCUCUGUUAAGAAGUCCUCAGCUCCCUUAUAAGGAUUAGGCGUGCUAGCAGCAAAAUAGCUAGACAUUGAUGGCUGUGGUGGGCGAAGGGCCAGCAUGCUAUCACUCCCAUGCGGCUGAGCUUGUUGUGACGUGCCGAGCAAAUGGUUCUGAGGAAACGAAGCACCAUUUAACUGCAUGUUGCCAUUUAGAUUCAUGUUCUGAGGCUGCAUAGUGUAUCUGCCACUGAGGCUAUCAUUAUACCCUCCCAUGUUCAGUCCUGAAUUCAUAGAAGGCUGCUCUGAUGAUAUUGAAGCUGGAAGACUUGGUAGAUUAGUUUGUUGAUCAAAAGAGAUUGUAUGGUUCUGAGAGCCAAUUGUAGGAUCAUUUUGAGACGAAACUGCGGCUUUAUUCUGGCCCAGGCUUAGGAGAGAUUUUCCAUCAUACUCAACAACUUGCAUCCAGUUGUCAUACGCCUUCUUAACUAAAGUAUCCACAUAUAUCUUCUGAUUGUCUGAAAGAGAAUCCAUUGAAUGAUACUGUCCGCCAGAGAUUAAACCACAUAAUUCAUAGAUAUUAUUAAAAACAACACCGACAUUUCUCAUAUCAUCAGGAUAGUAGACAUAUAGCUUCCCACUUAGUACACAGGUUUUUGCAUGGUCCACAAGAGCAUCCCACAUUUUAUUUGACAUUCCACUUCCCAGGACAUUUCGGAGCCUCUGCGAGUCUCUCACAACAAGACGCAGAAAGUCUUCCACUUUAUGUAUGCCAGCUUUAUUUAGCCUCUUGUGGAAGGAUCCAUCUUUCCCUAUCUUUUCCAAUCUCCAAACUUCAUCAUCUAAUGCAGGUGGAUAAUGUUUCUUGUACAAUUCUCCUCUAUGAUCCUUGACAGUGAAGGCAUCUGUUUUUGCCUCACGAAUGCGGAUUCCCUCACAGCAACCUGAUGCCACCUUUAAGCCUAGCCUGAACUUUCUGCUUCUGAUCCAGCUGGAGUUGUCAGUAAAUGUCAACUCGCCAAGGGUGCCAACACCUUCCUUCAAUAUCACUUGCAAUUCUCCAGUAAGGAGAGGCCUCUUGCCUUCACGCUCCUUGACGAUAUGAGACUCAAAUUCUUCUUGAGU
rnacentral:misc_RNA from 1 species